rnacentral:rRNA from 1 species
GACGAACGCUGGCGGCGUGCUUAACACAUGCAAGUCGAACGGAAAGGCCCUGCUUUUGUGGGGUGCUCGAGUGGCGAACGGGUGAGUAACACGUGAGUAACCUGCCCUUGACUUUGGGAUAACUUCAGGAAACUGGGGCUAAUACCGGAUAGGAGCUCCUGCUGCAUGGUGGGGGUUGGAAAGUUUCGGCGGUUGGGGAUGGACUCGCGGCUUAUCAGCUUGUUGGUGGGGUAGUGGCUUACCAAGGCUUUGACGGGUAGCCGGCCUGAGAGGGUGACCGGCCACAUUGGGACUGAGAUACGGCCCAGACUCCUCCGGGCGGCCGCAGUGGGGACUCUUGCCCCAUGGGCGGCAGCCUGAUGCAGCAACGCCGCGUGCGGGAUGACGGCCUUCGGGUUGUAAACCGCUUUCGCCUGUGCCGCCGCGUGAGUGACGGUAAUGGGUAAAGAAGCACCGGCUCCCUACGUG